rnacentral:rRNA from 1 species
UGGGGAAUAUUGGACAAUGGGCGCAAGCCUGAUCCAGCCAUGCCGCGUGAGUGAUGAAGGCCCUAGGGUUGUAAAGCUCUUUCACCGGUGAAGAUAAUGACGGUAACCGGAGAAGAAGCCCCGGCUAACUUCGUGCCAGCAGCCGCGGUAAUACGAAGGGGGCUAGCGUUGUUCGGAUUUACUGGGCGUAAAGCGCACGUAGGCGGACUAUUAAGUCAGGGGUGAAAUCCCGGGGCUCAACCCCGGAACUGCCUUUGAUACUGGUAGUCUUGAGUUCGAGAGAGGGGAGUGGAAUUCCGAGUGUAGAGGUGAAAUUCGUGGAUAUUCGGAGGAAAACCAGUGGCGAAGGCGGCUCACUGGCUCGAUACUGACGCUGAGGUGCGAAAGCGUGGGGAGCAAACAGG